GAUGAACGCUAGCGGCAGGCUUAAUACAUGCAAGUCGAGGGGUAGCAAGAUUGUAGCAAUACAAUUGUUGACGACCGGCAAACGGGUGCGGAACACGUACACAACCUUCCUACAAGUGGGGAAUAGCCCAGAGAAAUUUGGAUUAAUACCCCGUAACAUAGCGCUGUGGCAUCACAUUGCUAUUAUAGCUUCGGCGCUUGUUGAUGGGUGUGCGGCUGAUUAGAUAGUUGGCGGGGUAACGGCCCACCAAGUCUACGAUCAGUAGCUGAUGUGAGGGCAUGAUCAGCCACACGGGCUCUGAGACACGGGCCCGACUCCUACGGGAGGCAGCAGUAAGGAAUAUUGGAAAAUGGACGCAAGUCUGAUCCAGCCAUGCCGCGUGAAGGAUUAAGGUCCUCUGGAUUGUAAACUUCUUUUAUAAGGGACGAAAAAAGGUCUUUCUAGAUCGUCUGACGGUACCUUAUGAAUAAGCACCGGCUAACUCCGUGCCAGCCGCCGCCGUAACAC
rnacentral:rRNA from 1 species